rnacentral:snoRNA from 1 species
AGACAAAUGAUGACGAAGACGAUGACGACGAAGAAGCCGGCGAAGAGGAGAUGGUUGAUGUUGAUACUGAAGAU